rnacentral:rRNA from 1 species
AAAUAGCUUUAGGGCUAGCCUCAAGGUGAGAGAUACGGAGGUAGAGCACUGAAUGUCCUAGGGGGUAUUGCACCUACCGAAGACUAUCAAACUCCGAAUGCCGUCAUCUUAUACUUGGGAGUCAGACGGUGGGUGAUAAGAUUCAUAGUCGAAAGGGAAACAGCCCAGAUCGUCAGCUAAGGUCCCUAAAUGUAAGUUAAGUGGUAAAGGAUGUGGGAUUGCACAGACAACCAGGAUGUUGGCUUAGAAGCAGCCACUCAUUCAAAGAGUGCGUAAUAGCUCACUGGUCGAGUGAUCCUGCGCCGAAGAUUUCCGGGGCUAAAACUUAC